AAGUCAGCUUCACUUGCUCAUUGUCACAAGUUAGGAUUUUAUUGCUGUAGGAAGCUGAAUUUUGAUGGUAAAGUUCUAAAGUGAAACAUCAAAGAAUUUCAUUCUAACCGUCAGAUAUUUACAUUGAUAUAUAACGCACUGAUAUACUGUUUACAUCUGAAAACGGUAAGUUGAUAAACGUCUGUUUUAAUGCUGUAAUAAUGUAUGUAAGUAAUAGAAUCUUGUUUCACUUGGCUGAUAAGGUGAUUAUAUUGAAGUGAAUAGCGCAGUUCUAAUCGAAGAACCAUUUAAACCUGUCGGGCUAUUAUAGAUUCUGGAUCGAAGCACACUUUGUAGCUUGUCAUAACAUUUACCCAUUUUUAGUCUUUGGUAUUUUCAGAAAAAUUUUACGACUCUGUGUUCUACAAACUAUCUCGCACGAUUAAGCCAAAAAAAAAACAAAAACAAAAAACCAAUUUGUAAUUGAAAUUUUUACUCUUUCCUCCCCGCAUUACAACUAAGAACUGUCGGAAUUUUUUUAACUAAGGAUUUAUAAUGCGGACAUUACGAAUUUCCCCACUUCUUUUCAUUUCAAAAUAAAAAUUGAAAAAGUUGAGCCAAAAUAUUGCGCUUGAGCAUAAUUUUAUUUGAUCUGCACCAGGCGAGUCUGCAUGUGUAUCCGUGUUAUAAAAAAACAGUUACUCACAGAAAAGUAUGUUAUUAAAAUACGUCGUCUUUUACGUAGAUUUUUUUAUAAAUUAGUGUGGUUAAACCCCAGCAAUGUCUCGUAAGUGGAAUCCUUGUUUAAGCACCAAAUUGGCAAACAUUUUCUGACAAUUCCAAAAAAAUAAGGAAACGCAUGAGGGGUUAUAUGGAGUGCUCAAACCAAAAUCCUUCGAAAUGAACAAGUAGUCAUCAUUUGUCUUAGUCUCCGAAUUCUCCAGCCAAUAUUUGAAUCCAUGUCAAAAAGUAUCGGAUGAGAUUGGCGUUAAAGAUAUAUUCUUAAUAUUUGUCACCAUUUACAAGAGAAAUGGAAGAUUUUAUACAGAUAAGUUACGACUCUUCUGUAAAUUUAUUGCUUGAGUUACUGAGAGUUCUUUCAAGUGAAACAUAUUUCCUCAUUGUCUAAAAGGCCUAUAAGAGGAUUUUGUAUUCUAAUUCAAUUUGGACUGAUUGACAAAGAAGUAGUUUGCUACCACUUUCUGAUAACAACAAAUAUAAUAGUUGAUGGCAGUAUUGCAGUCUUUUCAUCAGUGCUGUAAUGAAUCAAUAGAAUGGAAAAUAUCAAUAUAACUAUUGUGUGAAAUUUAAAAAAAUAAAAUGGAUUUUUCUGAAGAAUUGCUAAAGGAGGGAAAAUCAUCAUAUCACUGUGAUGUCUGUCAAAAGACAUUCUCUCUUGAGAGUCGCCUUUCCAACCAUAAAUGUAUUCACAGAAAAGAGAAACGAUAUAACUGUCAUAUCUGUGGUAAAUCAUUCUCUCGUACGGAUUACUUAAACAAUCACAGACGUUUACAUACAGGAGAAAGGCCAUAUACCUGUAAUAUCUGUGGUAAUUCAUUCUCUGUAGCAAGUAGCUUAAACAGACAUAAACGUACACAUACAGGUGAAACACCAUUUCACUGUGAUACUUGUGGUAAAUCAUUCUCUCAGACUUAUGAUUUAACACGACAUAUACGUACUCAUACAGGAGAGAAACCGUAUCAGUGUAACACUUGUGGUGAAUUUUUCUCUGAAAGGGGUAAUUUGACUAAACACAAAAACAUUCAUACAGGAGAGAAGUCAUAUCGCUGUGAUAUCUGUGGAAAAUCAUUCUUUCAAAAAGUACACUUAAAUUCUCACAUACGUAUUCAUACAGGAGAGAAACCAUAUCACUGUGAUAUCUGUGGUAAGUCAUUCAUUGAUGCUGGUAAAUUAACUAAACACAAACGUACUCACACAGGAGAAAAGCCUUAUCCCUGUGAUAUAUGUGGUAAAUUAUUCUCUCACUCGAGUCAGUUAAUAGUACACAGGAGACGCAUUCAUACAAGUGAGAAGCCAUAUCACUGUGAUAUCUGUGGUAAAUCAUUCAUUGUUGGAGGUUCACUAACUGUUCACAGACGUACUCAUACUGGUGAGAAACCAUAUUCAUGUGAUAUCUGUGGCAUAUCAUUCCGUCUAACAAAUCAGUUAACGAAACAUAAGAGACGUAUUCAUACUGGAGAGAAACCAUAUCACUGCAACAACUGUGGUAGCUCAUUCACAAGUAGAAAGUCGUUAACUGCUCAUAAACGGAAUCAUUCAAAUGAAAAACCAUAUAACUGAUAUCUUUGAUAAAUUAUUCAACGGAAUAAGUCAUUUAUUGAUACAGAUGAGAUGCAUUCAUACAAAAGAGAAAUCGUGAUGACAGUAUCUGGUAAAUCAUUCAUUGAUGGAAGUAUCUUAACUGGUCAAAAAUGUAUUUGUACAGGUCAGAAACCAUAUAGUGUUAUCGUUACCAUUUAGUGUUCUUUUCUCCAUGCUAGCAUGGGUAAGACGGUUUGACAAGAGUUGGUUAGCUGGAGAGCUGUCCCGGGCUCCAGUCUGUUGUAUGUGUGGUAAAUAAUUCUGGCCUAAUUAAGCUCAUACUUUUUCAUAUGGUUGAGAAACCAUACCACUGUAAUGUUUCGAUUUGUUGACAGAAAAUGUAGAAAGCCUGUAGUGUUUGUCACUGCUUCAGUGAAACAGUGAUGAAACAUUUUGAAUAGUUGCUCUGUGAUUUUUUUUAUACCUGGAAUAAUAAAAAAAAAAAUCUUGAAACACAAGACGUAUGUAUUGUAUACAUACGUUUUAUAAACAUUUUAUUUUAAAAUAAAAUGUCUACUGGAAACGUACUAGCAUCGCAUUGGUAGCUGACAGGGGACACUACCAUUUAGCUUAUGAUAUUUCGUAUCGAAAGUUCGGCUGCAGACGUAAAGUCAGCUUUACUUGCUCAUUGUUAGUAGUUAGGAUUUUAUUGUGUUAGGAAGUUGGAUGUUGAUGGUAGGAUAAAGUUAUAUAAUGAAACAUCAACGAACUUCAUUCUAUCAGAUAUUUACAUUGGUAGAAAAAAACAUACAACACAUUGAUUCACUGUUUACAUCUAAAGACGAAUAACAGAUCAGAUUGGCGUCAAAGAUAUAACAUCAAUAUUUCUCACCAUUUACAAAGAAAGGAAAGAUUUUACACUGAAGCACUACAACUUCUAUGAAUGUAUCUUUUUAGUUCCUGACAAUUCUUUCAAGUGAAACAUUUCUCCCCAUUGUCUGGGAGGUGUAUGAAAGCAUUUUGUAUUCUAAUUGAAUUUGGACUAUUUUACAAAUUAGUAGUUUGCUACCAUUUACUGAUAACAACAAAGAUAACAGUUGAGGGAGGUAAUGCAGUAGAAAGCGUUGACAUAAAUAAAUAGGAGGAAAAAUAUCAAUAUAACUAUUGUGUGGAAGAAAAAAAGAAAAGAAUGGA